rnacentral:lncRNA from 1 species
GAGAAUCACAUAUACACAUUAUCAUCUAGAUUUAGGUCAGAUUCUUGAAUCAAUUUCUUCAAGAAUGGUUUCUUGAAGAAAUCGAUUCAUUCUUUACUCAAAUCUACAUUUCAUUAAUCUGUUAUCUAGAGUUGUGUAAGCCGGUGCCUUGGGAUGAACAAGCUGAAGAGGAAGCUAUCAUUGCCAUGAAGGACUAGCUGCAAGCUUUGCUAAGUUGGAAAUUAAGG